rnacentral:ncRNA from 1 species
ACCCAGCCAGUGGGUGACGUAGGUCAUGACUGGAUGGCACUAGACGGUGAGUGUGCCAAUUACAAUAACCCCCGUCACCU